rnacentral:rRNA from 1 species
CCCCGCAAGGGGAGCGGCAGACGGGUGAGUAACGCGUGGGAACGUACCCUUUACUACGGAAUAACGCAGGGAAACUUGUGCUAAUACCGUAUGUGCCCUUCGGGGGAAAGAUUUAUCGGUAAGGGAUCGGCCCGCGUUGGAUUAGCUAGUUGGUGGGGUAAAGGCCUACCAAGGCGACGAUCCAUAGCUGGUCUGAGAGGAUGAUCAGCCACAUUGGGACUGAGACACGGCCCAAACUCCUACGGGAGGCAGCAGUGGGGAAUAUUGGACAAUGGGCGCAAGCCUGAUCCAGCCAUGCCGCGUGAGUGAUGAAGGCCCUAGGGUUGUAAAGCUCUUUCACCGGAGAAGAUAAUGACGGUAUCCGGAGAAGAAGCCCCGGCUAACUUCGUGCCAGCAGCCGCGGUAAUACGAAGGGGGCUAGCGUUGUUCGGAAUUACUGGGCGUAAAGCGCACGUAGGCGGACAUUUAAGUCAGGGGUGAAAUCCCAGAGCUCAACUCUGGAACUGCCUUUGAUACUGGGUGUCUUGAGUAUGGAAGAGGUGAGUGGAAUUCCGAGUGUAGAGGUGAAAUUCGUAGAUAUUCGGAGGAACACCAGUGGCGAAGGCGGCUCACUGGUCCAUUACUGACGCUGAGGUGCGAAAGCGUGGGGAGCAAAC